rnacentral:rRNA from 1 species
AAUGAACGCUGGCGGCAGGCUUAACACAUGCAAGUCGAGCGGAGAUGAGGUGCUUGCACCUUAUCUUAGCGGCGGACGGGUGAGUAAUGCUUAGGAAUCUGCCUAUUAGUGGGGGACAACAUUCCGAAAGGAAUGCUAAUACCGCAUACGUCCUACGGGAGAAAGCAGGGGAUCUUCGGACCUUGCGCUAAUAGAUGAGCCUAAGUCGGAUUAGCUAGUUGGUGGGGUAAAGGCCUACCAAGGCGACGAUCUGUAGCGGGUCUGAGAGGAUGAUCCGCCACACUGGGACUGAGACACGGCCCAGACUCCUACGGGAGGCAGCAGUGGGGAAUAUUGGACAAUGGGCGGAAGCCUGAUCCAGCCAUGCCGCGUGUGUGAAGAAGGCCUUUUGGUUGUAAAGCACUUUAAGCGAGGAGGAGGCUACCUAGAUUAAUACUCUGGGAUAGUGGACGUUACUCGCUGAAUAAGCACCGGCUAACUCUGUGCCAGCCGCCGCCGUAAUAC